UUUAUGACAAGAACUUUUGGUUUUCAAUGGAAUUCACUUUGGAGGGCAGAACAUUUUCUUUUUCAUUGUAAGAAGAUUUGUAAAGGGGCAGGAUUGUGGCUAUUAUUAGAGUUCUUCCUAAAGAAAAUCAUCAAAUCCUUUACAGCACUAGGCAGAUCUGGGCUAAAAAGUAUAACAGGAUGGUAUAGAGCAGGCCAGAUAGCGACAGAGAGAAAGUGGAGCAGGGAGAAAGAAAAAAAUGGAAACCCACAAAGAAGAGCAGAUGCCAAUUAGAAUUCUUGCAGGCUGCAGCAAGGAGUGAGCAUAAGAAGCUGUAGCAAAAGAAAGGGUAGAGUGGAUUAGUGUUAAUCAGAGACAUGGGAAAGUAGGGAAGGUUUUAAAUGAGCUUUUGGGUUAGCAGCUCAAAAGAGAAUUCCAGAUCCAUCAGGUGUAGGGGCAAAAAUAAAAUUCAGAAUAGCAGAAGAUACAUCUGAAUCCUGAGUAAUUAACUUCUGAAGGUAAUAGACAUUUUUUGGAAGUAGAGGCCUCUCUCUCUUUCUGUCUAGCACUGUUAUCCUAGUAAAAGAGUGCACUUAGUAUUAUAAGAAAGUGACUCCUACCUGUUUUCUUUUUCAGUGUCUUAAUGGUAUAUACACACACCACCUUGUUAAAGGAAAGGUAAGUACUAAUGAACUAGAACUUCCCAAUCUCUGGCAAUAAAUUUGCCCAAACACAGAGUGCAGAUGAAUUGCCUCCAGAGUUGGGUGAGUUACACCAGGUAAGAGGCUGGCACAGUAUGGGACAGUCAUAAGUGGUCUGAAGAUCUAGGGGUUCAAGAUGAGUUUCAAAAUCCACUAGAGACAUUGCUGACUUCAGUAAACCCUAGAGCAGGAUGGCUGGAGUGCAAGGGUUGGGGGUCUUCUUACAGCUCUCAGAUAUGAAACAUCCCUUAACAUUUCUGUGCUGCCAAUUUAACUCCCUGUAAAAUGCAGACACUAACACCUAGUCACUAAAAAGGCAAAAAAACCAAAAGUGGAAAAAGGAGAGCCCCCACUGAUUAUCUGUUCUUGGAGGCUCUACAAUGCUAUAAUUAACAAUCCCAUUUCUAGCUGUUUGUGUUUCUUUUACAUAUGAAUCAUCAUUAAAGGUUAAUGAGAAAACUAACACUAUAUGAAAAGGUUGUUUUCUCAUUAUUUAAACAUUUUCAUUUUAAAAGCUCUAUGUAUUCCUAGAAUAUUAUUAAUUUAUUAUUUGCUAAACAAUAUCUUAACCAGUCCCUUUUUAUUUUCUCACAUGGCAUAAUUUUAAGCAACUGCAAUCAGUGCCCUUAGUUCCACUCAUCAGUUCUGAAUCUCUGCACUGCUGAGUCUCCAGCAGAACAAACUUCAUCCAAACAAAGCACAGACAUGUCCAUCAAAUCAGCCAGAGCUUCUGACACGCACCUGGUGCCAGCUUGGUGCUCUGCUGUUGGCUUUACACUGGCUGCCAGAGGAACAGAGGAUUCUGGAUCCAGUGUCAUGUUAGCUUAGCACAGAGAGGUGAUGCCUAACGUAGCAUAAACCCCAUCAGCACUACACCAAACCUUCCAUGUUAUUUUUAAACAAAUUUCAACCAUCAGAGUGAGCAUGUAUGAGAUUGGUGCUUUACAUCAGUAGAUCCAACACUGAGAGCCGUAAAGUUGCAGGUUGGUCACACCCAAGCCUGCAGUAAAUUUUACACUGUGAUAAAACAACCUUGAAUUCAAAUAAAACCUACAAAUCAUUUGUCCAUUUUCAAUGCAUUGGAAUAUAUUAUGGUGUUGAAAACAACUCUUCUGGUAGAAGAUGAACCCUAUAUUACAGCCUCAAAGCAAGCCACCCAUGCUCAUGGCCAUGAGGGGAAAAGAUGAGCACGCAGGGAACAGAAACCCAAAAGUUUGCUCAAGUUCUCACUCCACACCAGGGGUGCACGUGCCAGGUUUUCCAGUUGGAUGUGACUCUCUCUUAAUGACUAAAGUUAAUAAAAAAACCCCUCUGAAAACAGGACUUCACGACAGAAACGCCUACACAGCUGUAAGAGCCACUUCUCAAAUGUUCCUCUGCUUAUGAACCACAAGACUAAUAUGGCAAAAUUUGCCGACUUUUGCAGUUUUUCCCUCUUUUGUUGAAACUAAUGAGUCACGAUUAGAGUAAUGCUUUUCUGUGACUCUGAAACCAUUUUGCCUAAUGAGGUACUAAGUCUUUAUAAUUAGGCCCAGAAGGGAGUUAGGACAUGGCCCCUUAAGAGCAAUAAUUAUUUAGGUUAUUUAUGGUAAUAAAAAAUUGAAAAUAGGAAUUCUUCCUCAGAAUGCAACUAUUUAUUCUUUUACAUAUUGCCUAAUAGGCAAUUACCCUAUUAAGGCAACGUUUUGUUGCUAAAGACAUUAAUUGAAAUGUAAAUUAAAUGUAAAUCAGCUAAUUAAAUUGAUAUGUAAUGAACUUGUCAUGCAGGCCUUUGAGAUCAGAUGCAUUCUGCUAAUAAACAAGUGUUUUACUGGUGCCAUUGCUCACUGGAGUUAAGGUUGUUUAACGUGUUGUGUCGAUAACAUUCUCCCAUCCCAAAUUGAAAGGUUUGGAUUGUGUUGUUAGAGCCCAGAAUGAAGCUGGCACUGGCACCUUCAGGAUUUACUCCGUCCUAUUAUUUCCUGAUCAACUUCAUUGCAAGGCAAGGUGUUCCUCUAAUGGGAAGUGCUGCACAUCCCAUUGGGUUGUGAUCGAAGCUCUGUCUGUUCCUUCUGCUCCCCAGAAAUGACAAAACACUUUGUGAAAGCCCUCUCCAAGAUCAAUUCUGCUGUAUUAGGUGGCUUCUGGAGGGGUUAAUGUUAUUUCUUUCUCCACAAACUGUGGCCAGUUCAGCAGAGGUAAUGAACCCUCACAGCAGUGGGAGGAUAACUCUACACAUUCCUGAAAUAGAAAUAAAAUGAGAAAUGAAGCAAUCAGAAUUUGCUUGGUGAUUAUGUUGACAACAUACAAGGUAAACAUCAAAGCCAAUACAGCAACAGGAGAAUGAGCUAGAAUAACCUUCUGUGCUGGCCAUAAGACACACGUAACCUUCAGCAUCAAAGUGUGGGCUUGUGUCAAGCUGUAAAUUAAAGGGAAAGAAUAGGAAACUAUCAGUUCUCCUACAAAACAAACCAUUUUCCUGCAGCUGCCAUUUGAGCCAGACCUACUGGCAAAUUUCUGGCAAAAACUGAGGCCCUGUAUUGAAGGUAUCUUGGAGGACAAAAGUCCCUCCCCUGCCAGAUACAUUGACAAAACUCACUGACUCCAAUUAAGCAACAGUAAGGCAAAUGUCAUACAUUUUGCUUUCAAAAAAUCUCAGGUCAGCACCUUAUAGAACUCACCGCCCACUUAUGUUCACAUCAUGCAGACAUUCCAAGUGCUCAGUCACAAAGCUUAAGCACAUGUAGCAAAAAGGGCUGUGGAAGCAAGUGAAUGGGAAAAACAGUUUGGACUUGUGGAAAUCCAGAAAGUUUUCCUGGAUCCAUCAUGCUGUAGCUGCACCUGAGCAUUAAUGCUUAAUUAUUUUGUCUGGAAUAAAUCAGAUGCUGAGUUUAUAAUUUCUUCUAUCCAGAGAACCUUCAACCCUGCAAUCCUUCAGGGCCUGGGGAUAUUUAAUAAACAUGUCAACAACCACUCUUCUUUAGCUUGAAUGCAGCAUCUUGUUUUGUCCUACUGAAGAACACUCCAGUUUGAAGUUUACAGAGCAAUUAAAGACCCUCAUGGGGCCCCAGAUAUUGUCAGCAUAUGUAGAUUAGUAAUUGUCAAGUUUCUCCCUAAGGCUGAAGAGCUCUUAGUCAAAUUCCAGAGAUCAUCAAAUAUUCAGAUUUCAGUGGACCUUGUGUCAUACACAACAUAGUGGCAUAAUUAAACUAAAAUGUUUCUUUUCUAAUAAACUUUUGGAUCUGUAUUUGUUUCGAUUAUUAUUUUUAAUUAGCUAUGAUCACAAAAUAAAAAAGUACAUCAAUCUAAAUCUGCAAUUUUGCUGCUUCCAAAAAGCCACCCUGUUUGAACCUUUCUCUUAAAGAAGUUGGGAUUUGGAGACCACACUUACGCUGACUUGCAAAGGCCUGAUGGAGCACAAACCUCAGCAGACAGGAGGUACAGUUCCUUCUCUGACUUCUUUCCAGUCGACACCUGGUCAACAGGGCAUGAUGCUGCCAUCUCGAGCUGUGUCUUCAUUGAUGUGGUGGCUUGGAUUAGCUCAGGUUUUAGUUUAUUCUUGGCUAGUUUUGAUGUCUGUGAACAUUGAUGUAGAUCGAAACAAUAUUAAAAAAACAAAAAAAAAACUUUAGAGGUCAAGAAGGGAAUUAGUGUAAGGAUCCUCCCAGCCUAGGGUCUUACUGUAGUGACUGACUCCAGCCUUCCCUGUUGUUUGAGCCCUCUGCCUGCCACACUGGGCAGUCAAAUACUCACCUGAAUUGUUGCCUUUCUUUGAAUCUUGCAUGGUCCAGCUCUCAGAGAUCAAAUAAGUGCUCUAAUAUGGUAAAAUGGAUGCACAAGAGCAACUGGGUGAAGCUUUCCUGCAUUAAGACUGGCCUGUGCACGUUCCUCCAGCUGGUUCCCCCACAAUCCAUUGGACUGUGGUCCUAGGGCUUGGAAGGGUCAAAGUGUUGGUCACUGGUCUGCAUCCAUCAUUGGAGUCACAUUUCAUUGAGCUGUGUCUGUGGACAAAGCCUGUAGCAAGGAGGAAGUUGUUACAAACCUUUCUGAUGUUUCUGACCUACAAACUCAGAUUUCAAAGCUGCAUUUGGGAUCUGAAAGUUUAAUUCCUGGGAAAAUGAAAAAGAAUUGGGCUUGGAAAUUGUGAAGGUAGGUUUAAUAAUCUUCAUUACAGCACGUUACAUAAAAGAGCUAAGUUACUGCUCAUGAGUAGAUCUUAAUUUCCAUGCUGUUCAUAUUUCCUAGGUGUAGCAGAGGACAAACUGGCAGUGCUUGGAAACGGACAGAAACCUUUUGUUAACCCCAGACUGCCCAUGCACACACAGGCUACUUUUGCUUGGCAGUACCAGCUUGUUGAACCAGUGGGUUUAACAGCCUCCCAUCGCAUGGAGAUGCUCUAGCACCAUCCAAGGGCUCCACACCCCCAGGAAGUUAGCAGAGAUUGCCCAGCAAUAGGGAGCCUUUCCCAGCCAUUUCAGGCAGAAAUCCUCAGAUGAAUGGCUUGGGAAGUCUCAGGAUGGCUGAGUGACAGCUCGGUUCAGGAACGGGGUGUACUGAACAUGAAAUGUGAGACACUGCCUUGGGAGCAUCUGUGUGAUUUAGCCAAGCACCCAUGGCCAUCACUCAACUGGCUGCUGUGACUCAGGCAUGGAGCCUCAUUCACUUCCCUCACUGGCUCUGUGACCCGCUUCUGUCCUGCUUCAGCUCACUUCAUCUGCCUGAGUCUUGGGCCACCAUGUGAGAAAUGGAAAAAUUAUAUAUAAAGCAACAUUAGUAUGAGAAGGACAGAGAGACUUGAAGGGGAUGGAAACCAGCUCGUUUGCCAGCCAUGCCAAUUUUUUUCAUCAGCCUCCAGUGGAAAAAGAAACAGACUGAGGUCAUUCCCAUCCAGCACCGUUCCUCUGCCUGCUGAGGAACCUGGUGUAACUUAUUUUGAUGUGCAAAGAAAGAGGUAGGUAGACACGAACACACACACACAAAUAUAUAGAGCACACACACAUAGCCACACGUAAUCUAGGAGGCAAAGAGAGAAUCUGUACCUGCAUUUGUGAUAUCUUCCUGCACCAGGUAAGGAAAGCAUCUUUUUCCUUUUAACCGGGUGCCGUACCUACAUUGUUUCCUCGCAGUCUAUCUUUAGGUUAUAGCAGUUCACAGGUUUUUUCAGCAGAUGUGUUAUUCAAUUACUUCAGGGCUUUUCCAUUUGUAAUAUUGCGAAGCAAUGAUAGCCAGCAGACUUCACCUGUCUUUUAGAGAUAGCCAGCCUGGUAAUUUUAACUCUGCCCAUUUUAUCCACACCAGUAAAUCUCAUAACAUGGUUAUAGAGAGAUUCCAAUUUUUGUAGAAUCUUCUCCUGGGAAUUCCUGUAUACAGUAUUGCCAUAGUCUGUAAUGGACAUAACCUGUGAUUGGAUUAAUGUUUCCCUAGUGAAGAAGUCAAAGCAUUUCAUGUUCCUAUAACUGGUUUGCAGCUCUGCAGUAAAGGUCUUUGGUGUGGCAGAGAGAAUAAUUGCAAACUCAGCCCCAAUCAGAAUAUAUAAUCCCCUCACAGUGAGGGUCUAACUCAGUGCAGUUAGACUGCCUGUGAAGGGGUUUGUAGUGGGAUUUUCUUGUCAGGAGAGCAGAAUGCAUGGAAAACAAGUUAAUUUCAGCAUUUCAAUAUUCAUCAUCCAGUCCUGUACGAAGGGAGGCAAAUACAUUGCUACUGCUCCAAGGGAGAGCCCUGCAGCUCCCAGAGCAGGGAAUGUGAAGAGGCAGGCAGGGCUUUGCAAUGGCCCACUGGUCUCCUCACAGGAAAAGCCCCCCACUCGUGUGCAGAUAAACAUGUGCCUUUGCUCUUAAGAGUAAAUACCAUUCUGUCCAAAUCAAAGCCUAGUUUUGGACCCAUAUUGGCUUCUGAACCUGUCAGCAUCCCUGGUGUCACCUUACCUUGGUCCUGACACAAGUGACUAAUAAGGAAUUACUGUUGGGAAAAUUCAGCAUGAAUUACUUACAUCUGAGACACGGAUCACAUCCAGGAAGAAGAGGCUAAUGGCAAGCCAGGAGUAAAUUCUGAAGCAGGAUCUGCCUGCUCAGGUGGAGGAGGAGGAACUUCCAACACUCACAUGGGAGGGAAGGGAACUAGAAGCUGGGAACAAAAGGUCUCCUGUUUUCAGCUCCCAUGCUAGUCUCCCCAAAAAAUGGGAUGUGUAAACCCUCAGGCAAACUAGCAGAGACCCCUCAGUGAAAGAAAGGCUCAGGCUCCCAUCCCCAGCUGGUCAGGGAGAGCUUUCAAGAACCACAGUUUAUUGCAGAACCCUGAAAGCAGCUGUGGGUAAAGCACCAUAAAGUCAGCUCUGCCUAUGGGGUUCAGGGGAGAUGUGACUGGGAUCUCAGCAUGGAAAAAUUGGGUACUGGCAACUGUGGCUUGGCCAGAAGGUGCCGGAGACAAACUGAAAGAGGAAGGAAAUGGGAAGCAAGAGCAAAGAGCUUGAACAAGACAUUCUGGAACAAGGAUAAGGAGGAUGGGUUCCAGGAUGGGCGUGCUGCCUGGCUGAAGAGCAAGGCAGAUGCUCUUGGCAGAUAACCUUAUGUUUGGAUGUUACAGCAUUGCUAGGCAGGUGGAGAGGAUGGGAAGGUUAGCACCAUGGGACUUGACAAAUGGGAUGUCAUCAUUCCCCAUAUGGGUAACUGUCUCCAAUCUGUGCUUCCUGUGCCACUGAAAGGUUGGAAUGUCUCAGCAGAAAGGCAGCAUCUCUGGCAGAGAAGAGCAAUCUACUUUAGGUCUGAAGACCUACAGAUUUUAGGCUGUGGGGCAGAUACCUGUGCAAAAGACAAGUAAGAAGUGGAGACAGUGAUUUUCAGGAAAAUCCAGUUAUUAAAUCUAAACUUAAAAGACUGGCUUUUACAAGUCUGACAGAGAGAGCCUGUGACAGCCAAUAGCUUCCCAGAACCCAGCCGUCUUGGUUUUGAAGUGAUCGGGAGCCUGUGAGGAGGAAGAAAUGGAAAUGAAACAACACACUCAUUCCACAGCUGCUUUUUUCACUUUAUUCAUAUUUCUAGAGUAGUCUUUCUAGCAGCUAAGCAAAUAUUGAAACUCUCUCAUUAUAUAUAUAUAUGUAUGUAUAUAUAGUAACAUCCAAAAAUAAAUAAUAUGGAAUUCUGCAAGUGUUUUUGCAAUGAACAUGGGAAAGAACAUUUUAACUUCAGCAAACCAACUUUGAAAAUCUUCACUAAAAUGCUAUAAAACCCAAUGAUAGUCAUAAAUUAGCACUAGAUUAAUUCAAAGGAGAACUUAUCCCCCCCUCCACGUACCUUCCAAUCCAUAUCUCCAAGAGGUCAUUUUAAUUAUCUCACUGUCACUGCUAUUCAUUACUCUGCUUUUGGAGACAGAGAGCCAGCACUGUGCCUUUUGGAUGCCUUGGAAUUCAUCAUAUGAAGGCAUUUUAUUCUCCCCAAAAUGUACACAGUUUAACCCUCUCACCUUGAAGUAGUGACGGUAGCAGGUUUGCUUGGUGUUUUAAAUCAUUUUCCUUACAGUGGGAUACCUCCUUGCUUUCAAGUGAGGUCCCCUUGUCAGACAGCAACAAAAGAAAGCCCAGCUAAUGGGUGGCUAAUGCACAGAUGAGUUCAGCUCAAGUUUUGGCAGAUCCUGAGUAGCUUAUCCUUCUUCAGAGGCAUGCAGAGCCAAGCUUUUGUCCGUACUCAUACCUGCUCACUCCUUCUGGCUGCAGUAAUGCAAACUGGGUGGAAACCAUGUGCCAGUGGCUCCCAGGAGGUCCAGUGGGAUGUGGGACCCAGCUCAGCCUGACUCUGUUCCUAGAUCAUGGCAUUCCCUAUGUAAUGGGGAGGUGCUGAGGUUUUACUUGGGAUUUCUUACACAACACUUUUGUUCACCCCUUUCAGCACUACUCCUCACUCACACUGCCUCAGUCAUACAUCUUUUGGCGAGUUUGGUCUUUCUAGACCCCAAGCAGUUUUUGAUGGAGGACCACUGUCCCUGCCUGUUGGACAGGUCUUGCAGCAAGUUUCAUGCCUGCAGCCUGACAGUCCCAUUUCUCACAUGACCCCUCUCCUCAAAUGAUCUGAUAGAAGAGCAAAAAACCCAGCCAUGCAGUGGAUGAUAAACUGCACACUGAGGAGCACCUGCCUGGCUCCCUGAAGCUAUUUAUCAGGCUCUCUUAAUGCAAGCUAACAGGACUAGCACAUGCAGUAGGCAUAAGGGCUUCUGAGCCCAGCAUUAAAAGGGGAGACAUCAGAUGGUGCAGUAGAGAAGCCAGGACUCCCUCAUUAGCUCAUUGUAUGGAUUACCCCUUUAAAGAGAGAGAAGGGGACUGGUGGAGGAAGGAGAGGCUUUCUCAUUUUAAUAAAUAGCUUUUCAGACACCACAAAUGAUUUCUGCAAAUCUAUAAGUUCACUCUUUUUUUCCACCCACAGAUAGGGAAGAAAAAAAAAAAAAGCCCUGAAAUUGAUUCACCAUCUAUAAAUAAAAAAGAAUCAAUAGUAAAAUUUCUAGCUAAUUUCCCUCUCCCUCUUUGCUCCUUGGACUAUUUGUUAUCUUAGAAAUAUUUGUCUGGGAAAAAAAAAAAAGAGAAACAUCAUCGAUUCCUGACUGCGACGUGUUGCCCUACAGCUCUCCUCUCCUCUCCUCUCCUCUCCUCUCCUCUCCUCUCCUCUCCUCUCCUCUCCUCUCCUCUCCUCUCCUCUCCUCUCCUCUCCUCUCCUCUCCUCUCCUCUCCUCUCCUCUCCUCUCCUCUCCUCUCCUCUCCUCUCCUCUCCUCUCCUCUCCUCUCCUCUCCUCUCCUCUCCUCAGCGAGUGGAAGGAGAUGAGUCCUUCAGGUGCGCCUGGCUCCUCUUCUCAGGUUUGCCUGCAGCACGGCCGUUCCCGGGGCCCCGCUGGGCAGUGCAUUUGUAGAGUGGCACGUUGUCCUUCCUGCCAAAGGAAGA